GGGGGGGGGGGGGGGGGGGGGGGGGGGGGGGGGGGCGGGGGGGGGGGCGGGGAGGGGGCUGCGCUGGCGUUGGCGGGGGGCGGGUGAGGGACACGUGGAUAGGCUAGCUAUAGGACGGGGGUAACUUGGGGAAAGCGGGGCUAGUACCGGAUAAUAUAUUGCACCGCAUGGUUCAAUAGUGCAAGAAGGUGUUGCUGUCACUUAUAGAUGGAUCCGCGCCGCAUUAGCUAGUUGGUAAGGUAACGGCUUACCAAGGCAACGAUGCGUAGCCGACCUGAGAGGGUGAUCGGCCACACUGGAACUGAGACACGGUCCAGACUCCUACGGGAGGCAGCAGUAGGGAAUCUUCCGCAAUGGGCGAAAGCCUGACGGAGCAACGCCGCGUGAGUGAUGAAGGUCUUCGGAUCGUAAAACUCUGUUAUUAGGGAAGAACAAAUGUGUAAGUAACUAUGCACGUCUUGACGGUACCUAAUCAGAAAGCCACGGCUAACUACGUG
rnacentral:rRNA from 1 species